AUUGAACGCUGGCGGCAGGCCUAACACAUGCAAGUCGAACGAGUGGCGGACGGGUGAGUAAUGUCUGGGAAACCGCCUGAUGGAGGGGGAUAACUAAUGGAAACGGUAGCUAAUACCGCAUACUAAGGGAUGUGCCCAGAUGGGAAUCGCUAGUAGGUGGGGUAAAGGUUCACAUAGGCGGCGAUCCCUAGCUGGUCUGAGAGGAUGACCAGCCACACUGGAACUGAGACACGGUCCAGACUCCUACGGGAGGCAGCAGUGGGGAAUAUUGCACAAUGGGCGCAAGCCUGAUGCAGCCAUGCCGCGUGUAUGAAGAAGGCCUUCGGGUUGUAAAGUACUUUCAGCGGGGAGGCGUUACCCGCAGAAGAAGCACCGGCUAACUCCGUGCCAGCAGCCGCGGUAAUUC
rnacentral:rRNA from 1 species